rnacentral:rRNA from 1 species
GAUGAACGCUGGCGGCGUGCCUAAUACAUGCAAGUCGAACGAACAGACGAGGAGCUUGCUCCUCUGACGUUAGCGGCGGACGGGCGAGUAACACGUGGAUAACCUACCAAUAUGACUUGGAUAACAUCGGGAAACCGCAGCUAAUACUGGAUAAUAUAUUGAACCGCUUGGUUCAAUAGUUAAAGAGGCUUUUGCUGUCACUUAUAGAUGGAUCCGCGCCACAUUAGCUAGUUGGUAAGGUAACGGCUUACCAAGGCAACGAUGCGUAGCUGACAUGAGAGGGUGAUCGGCCACACUGGAACUGAGACACGGUCCAGACUCCUACGGGAGGCAGCAGUCGGGAAUCUUGCGCAAUGGGCGAAAGCCUGACGCAGCAACGCCGCGUGAGUGAUGAAGGUCUUCGGAUCGUAAAACUCUGUUAUUAGGGAAGAACAGAUGUGUAAGUAACUAUGCACGUGUUGACGGUACCUAAUAAGAAAGCCACGGCUAACUACGUG